CCGAAUUUGAUAUUGAACUUCGUGAGAAUAGUAACCUUGUCUUCAGGUUCGAGAGCCCAAGAGGCUGAGACGUGUUCCUUUCUCGGCCGCAAUCACAAGACGCAGAAGUCAGUAGCGCGACCCAACGCAACAUCAACAAAUUUACUCCUCGGCCGAGCUCGGCCGACGAGUUGGCACGCCCCGCAUUCACCGAAGGACAUAGUUAGCUUAUUAAUUACUCGGCCUGCGCGCCA
rnacentral:lncRNA from 1 species